CCUACGGGAGGCAGCAGUGAGGAAUAUUGGUCAAUGGACGAGAGUCUGAACCAGCCAAGUAGCGUGAAGGAUGACUGCCCUAUGGGUUGUAAACUUCUUUUAUAUGGGAAUAAAACGUUCCACGUGUGGGUUUUUGUAUGUACCUUAUGAAUAAGGAUCGGCUAACUCCGUGCCAGCAGCCGCGGUAAUACGGAGGAUCCGAGCGUUAUCCGGAUUUAUUGGGUUUAAAGGGAGCGUAGGUGGAUUGUUAAGUCAGUUGUGAAAGUUUGCGGCUCAACCGUAAAAUUGCAGUUGAUACUGGCAGUCUUGAGUACAGUAGAGGUGGGCGGAAUUCGUGGUGUAGCGGUGAAAUGCUUAGAUAUCACGAAGAACUCCGAUUGCGAAGGCAGCUCACUGAACUGCAACUGACACUGAGGCUCGAAAGUGUGGGUAUCAAACAGGAUUAGAUACCCGAGUAGUC
rnacentral:rRNA from 1 species